rnacentral:miRNA from 1 species
AGUUGUAUCAUCAAUGCGCCGCA